GCCCCUCUAGCUUAGUUGGUAGAGAGAGCAAAGGCUCCUAACCUUGUGGUCGUGGGUUUGAGCCCAACGGUCGGCG